rnacentral:rRNA from 1 species
UGGGGAAUAUUGGACAAUGGGCGAAAGCCUGAUCCAGCCAUGCCGCGUGUGUGAAGAAGGUCUUCGGAUUGUAAAGCACUUUAAGUUGGGAGGAAGGGCAUUAACCUAAUACGUUAGUGUUUUGACGUUACCGACAGAAUAAGCACCGGCUAACUCUGUGCCAGCAGCCGCGGUAAUACAGGGGGUGCAAGCGUUAAUCGGAAUUACUGGGCGUAAAGCGCGCGUAGGUGGUUUGUUAAGUUGGAUGUGAAAUCCCCGGGCUCAACCUGGGAACUGCAUUCAAAACUGACUGACUAGAGUAUGGUAGAGGGUGGUGGAAUUUCCUGUGUAGCGGUGAAAUGCGUAGAUAUAGGAAGGAACACCAGUGGCGAAGGCGACCACCUGGACUAAUACUGACACUGAGGUGCGAAAGCGUGGGGAGCAAACA